UACGGAAUGUGCAAACGUUAUUCGGAAUCACUGGGCUUAAAGAGUCCGUAGGCGGCCUGUUAGGUGAGGUGUGAAAUCCCCCGGCUCAACCGAGGAAUUGCGCUUCAAACCGGCAGGCUUGAGGAGGAUAGAGGUGGGCGGAACUGAUGGUGGAGCGGUGAAAUGCGUUGAUAUCAUCAGGAACACCGGAGGCGAAAGCGGUCCACUGGGUCCUUUCUGACGCUGAGGGACGGAAAGCUAGGGGAGCGAACGGG
rnacentral:rRNA from 1 species